rnacentral:rRNA from 1 species
AUUGAACGCUGGCGGCAUGCCUUACACAUGCAAGUCGAACGGUAGAGGUAGCAAUACCUUGAGAGUGGCGAACGGGUGAGUAAUACAUCGGAACAUGCCCAACUGUGGGGGAUAACGUAGCGAAAGUUACGCUAAUACCGCAUACGAUCUACGGAUGAAAGCGGGGGACCGUAAGGCCUCGCGCAGUUGGAGUGGCUGAUGCCAGAUUAGCUAGUUGGGGGGGUAAAAGCCUACCAAGGCAACGAUCUGUAGCUGGUCUGAGAGGACGACCAGCCACACUGGGACUGAGACACGGCCCAGACUCCUACGGGAGGCAGCAGUGGGGAAUUUUGGACAAUGGACGAAAGUCUGAUCCAGCAAUGCCGCGUGCAGGACGAAGGCCUUCGGGUUGUAAACUGCUUUUGUACGGAGCGAAAAAGUCUUCUUUAAUACAGAGGGCUCAUGACGGUACCGUAAGAAUAAGCACCGGCUAACUACGUGCCAGCCGCCGCAGUAA